rnacentral:rRNA from 1 species
GAUGAACGCUAGCGGGAGGCCUAACACAUGCAAGCCGAGCGGGAUUUGUCUUUCGGGACAGAGAGAGCGGCGUACGGGUGCGGAACACGUGUGCAACCUGCCUUUAUCAAGAGGAUAGCCUUUCGAAAGGAAGAUUAGUACUCUAUAAUAUAUUGAUUGGCAUCAGUUAAUAUUGAAAGUUACGGCGGAUAAAGAUGGGCACGCGCAAGAUUAGCUAGUUGGUGAGGUAACGGCUCACCAAGGCGAUGAUCUUUAGGGGGCCUGAGAGGGUGAUCCCCCACACUGGUACUGAGACACGGACCAGACUCCUACGGGAGGCAGCAGUGAGGAAUAUUGGUCAAUGGGUGCAAGCCUGAACCAGCCAUCCCGCGUGAAGGACGACUGCCCUAUGGGUUGUAAACUUCUUUUGUAUAGGGAUAAACCUCUCCUCGUGAGGAGAGCUGAAGGUACUAUACGAAUAAGCACCGGCUAACUCCGUGCCAGCCGCCGCCGUAA